GUCUAUAGCUGUUCCAUCCUGAAAAUGGAAGAUAAGCUGGGUCAGGCCUGGUUUGAAGUUGGAUGGAGACUGCUGGGAAUAUUGGAUGUUAUAGACA
ensembl:rRNA predicted gene, 23279